rnacentral:rRNA from 1 species
UACGAAGGGGGCUAGCGUUGCUCGGAAUCACUGGGCGUAAAGCGCACGUAGGCGGAUCGCUAAGUCAGGGGUGAAAUCCUGGAGCUCAACUCCAGAACUGCCUUUGAUACUGGCGACCUUGAGUUCGGGAGAGGUGAGUGGAACUGCGAGUGUAGAGGUGAAAUUCGUAGAUAUUCGCAAGAACACCAGUGGCGAAGGCGGCUCACUGGCCCGAUACUGACGCUGAGGUGCGAAAGCGUGGGGAGCAAACAGG